rnacentral:rRNA from 1 species
UACGUAGGGUGCAAGCGUUAAUCGGAAUUACUGGGCGUAAAGCGUGCGCAGGCGGUUGUGUAAGUCAGAUGUGAAAUCCCCGGGCUCAACCUGGGAAUUGCAUUUGAGACUGCACGGCUAGAGUGUGUCAGAGGGGGGUAGAAUCCACGUGUAGCAGUGAAAUGCGUAGAGAUGUGGAGGAACACCGAUGGCGAAGGCAGCCCCCUGGGCCAAGAUUGACGCUCAUGCACGAAAGCGUGGGGAGCAAACAGG